rfam:Buceros rhinoceros silvestris contig7451, whole genome shotgun sequence.
UUCUGUUGUCCUUCAUUCCACCGGAGUCUGUCUCAUACCUAACCAGAUUUCAGUGGAGUGAAGCACAAGAGGCA